AAUGAACGCUGGCGGCGCGCCUAAUACAUGCAAGUCGAGCGAGAAGACGUAGCAAUACGUCUGUAAAGCGGCGAACGGGUGAGGAAUACAUGGGUAACCUACCCUCGAGUGGGGAAUAACUAGCCGAAAGGUUAGCUAAUACCGCGUACGCUUCUUGGACUUCGGUUCAGGGAGGGAAAGCGGUACCGUGGGUAUCGCGCUCUUGGAU
rnacentral:rRNA from 1 species